AUUGAACGCUGGCGGCAUGCUUUACACAUGCAAGUCGAACGGCAGCACGGGUGCUUGCACCUGGUGGCGAGUGGCGGACGGGUGAGUAAUGCAUCGGAACGUGUCCUGAAGUGGGGGAUAACGCAUCGAAAGAUGUGCUAAUACCGCAUAUUCUCUGAGGAGGAAAGUAGGGGAUCGAAAGACCUUAUGCUUUUGGAGCGGCCGAUGUCUGAUUAGCUAGUUGGUGAGGUAAAGGCUCACCAAGGCGACGAUCCG
rnacentral:rRNA from 1 species